rnacentral:lncRNA from 13 species
CCCUCCUCUAGGGCCCUACAAGGCAGCUCCUUCAUUUUAUUCUCUUCCUUUGACACCUUGCGGAGGGCCUCUCAGAGCGUAGCCCCACUUCUCUGGAGAAUGAUGCCAUCUGUGGGGUGACCCAUAAGAAGGGCCUCUGGUGCCUGGACAGUUUCUUGUCUGGCUUCCUCCUCUUCUUCCAAAUAAGGCAGGAGAGUAACUGGGAGUGCCACCUGAUACAGCUUGAUUUAGACCAGAGUAUGAAAGAAUCCACUCUUGGCUUGGGGCCUGCCAGCCGUGGGCCUGAGGAAAGCUUGCUAGAGGCGAAGAGGCAGAGGGAGAAGCGUGCUGGCCCAGAAUGUUACAAUAGCCCCUUGGCUUCCUUGCAAUGAGGAGUGGGCACAUGUUCCAGUUCUGUCCAAAGAGAACUAAGCAGAGGUCUCUGGAGGAGACCUGUGUAAAAGCACUGCUGUUCUAAAAGAAGGGGACAGCAUGGCUGGGCCCUGUCCUUCCUACUUCCUGCCUGAAGUGUGGAUAUACUCUCUGGAGCCCACCCACGUAUCUGCUUUCAGAGCCAUCUCCUGCCAAGAAACGGAAAAACAGAGGGUCAAGAGUUCAGUCUGGAUAGGCUAACUGGGGUCCAAGAGCAGGGGAAGGUCCACCCUGGGCACCUGUCCAGAGGAUGGGCUGCUUCUCACCUAGACCAGAGGAACCACUUGUCACCUGGGCUGGACUGAGGAAGGGUUGUCCUCUCCCAAGAACUUGUUGGAUAACUCCUGUCUGCUGGCUCCAACACUCAAUCUGGAGGGCUGGAAGAUGAACGGUCUCUACUAUGGAAUCCUGGUGGCCAACUCUUCACCGUGUCUUCUGGGUUU